UCGAAAAAUUCUUUUAUUCGAGAAGCUAAAUCUUAUUUUCAUGGUCGUCGUGUGCGUUCUAAGCACCGAAAAAAGCCUCCGAAAUGGCUAUGGUUCCGACAAGUUGAUCCUGAGCAAGUUGCUAGGCGUUGUUCAUCUCAGUUCGAUAUCUCUACAGAGCUGGUGCAAGUUGCAAGAUCAGGUGGGGAAUUUCAUUUGAUUGCAGUAGUUGGUUGCAAGUGAGUUAUUGAUUAAUGUUUUUUUGCAAGUGUUCUUAUGGUUUGUAUAUUUAUCAUCUUCAAUCCAAGUUUAUUGAACAUGUUUU